AGAGUUUGAUUCUGGCUCAGAACGAACGCUGGCAGCGUGGAUUAGGCAUGCAAGUCGAACGGGAAGCGGUAGAUUCAAUCUUCGGAAAGAAUUUACCGUGGGUAGUGGCGAAAGGGUGAGUAACGCGUGGGUAACCUGCCCCUGAGUUGGGGACAACAGCUGGAAACGGCUGCUAAUACCGAAUAUGGUACUUUGUCGCAUGACGGGGAUAUUAAAGGUGGGGGUUCUUCGGAACCUGCCGCUUGGGGAGGGGCCCGCGUCCCAUCAGUUAGUUGGUAGGGUAACGGCCUACCAAGACUUACGGGUAGCCGGCCUGAGAGGGUGAUCGGCCACACUGGGACUGAGACACUGCCCAGACUCCUACGGGAGGCUGCAGUCGAGGAUCAUUCGCAAUGCGCGAAAGCGUGACGAUGCGACGCUGCGUGGAGGAUGAAGGCUCUAGGGUUGUAAACUCCUGUCAUGAGGGAAAAGCCGCACGAAUAUUAAUAAUAUUUGUGCCCGAUGGUACCUCAAAAGGAAGCGACGGCUAACUCUGUGCCAGCAGCCGCGGUAAUACAGAGGUCGCUAGCGUUGUUCGGAUUUACUGGGCGUAAAGCGUACGUAGGUGGUUCCGUGUGUCGGGUGUGAAAUCCCACAGCUCAACUGUGGAACUGCUUCCGAAACUGCGGGACUUGAGUGCAGGAGGGGAGAGCGGAAUUCUUGGUGUAGCGGUGAAAUGCGUUGAUAUCAAGAGGAACACCGGUGGCGAAGGCGGCUCUCUGGAAUGUUACUGACACUGAGGUACGAAAGCUGGGGGAGCGAACAGGAUUAGAUACCCUGGUAGUCCCAGCCGUAAACGGUGCACACUUGGUGUGGGAGGUAUUGACCCCUUCCGUGCCGGAGCUAACGCGUUAAGUGUGCCGCCUGGGGAGUACGGCCGCAAGGCUAAAACUCAAAGAAAUUGACGGGGGCCCGCACAAGCGGAGGAGCAUGUGGCUUAAUUCGAUGCAACGCGAAGAACCUUACCUGGGCUUGACAUGGUGACCCUUCGGGGGUGGAGGUGAAAGCCUCCUUUACAAUCACAGGUGCUGCAUGGCUGUCGUCAGUUCGUGCCGUGAGGUGUUGGGUUAAGUCCCGCAACGAACGCAACCCUUGUGUUUAGUUGCCACCGCAGGUGAUGAGCCUGCGAGCACUCUAGACAGACUGCCCGUACAAGCGGGAGGAAGGU
rnacentral:rRNA from 1 species